rnacentral:antisense_RNA from 1 species
AUUCUUGUGAUAGUGAAGAAGUCUCACAAGAUCUGAUCAUUUAUAAUGGGUUUCCACUUUUGCAUCUGGAUCAUUUUUCUCUUGACGCCACCAUGUAAGAAGUGCCUUUCACCUCCCACCAUGAAUCUGAGGCCUCCCGAGUCAUGUGGAAAUGUCUUUUAUUGGGUGCUGGUUCUUAACUCUGGACUUCUCUACAAGUUUUGUCAAACUAUCAAAUGCAGAGCAAAUUGGAGGCCUGCCAGAGCACCCAGAGGGUGGAAUGAAGCAACAGAGAGGCAUCAGGAAAGGAGAACACAGAUGGAGACAGAGAUGGGAGGCAUAAGCACCACCUACUGGCACAGGCUGUGCACUUGCACAGAUAGGAGAGCUGAAAAGUUGGUCACGGAUGGAAAUAACUGCUGGUUUCACAAAUGAGGAGGCGGAAAAUUCCACUUAAUUUCACUAUUACAAUGCUCAGCAGAAAAAAAAAAAAACACUUGGAUUGCUGAGCUACAGAACACCCAGACUCAUAGCACUGGGACUUCCAGGUCUUACCUUACGAGUGGGUCAAAACACUGACAAAGGGGACAAUAUCCAUUAGCCAUUAUCUUGCUGCGUAUGAAUAACCCUCUCUCACAAAAAAUAAAGAUAAAUAUGUUCUGAAA